GGGGCACGGACCCGCCGGGGCGGACCCUGCCCGCGCCCCCCGCGCGCCCCAGGACUCAGCCAGGGCCGAGGCCGGGGCUGGGCCGCCCGGCCUCGCCUCUUGGGCCCCGUGGGGCGGGGGUGACCGGCGCGGGUCCCGCGACCCGGGGCGGCCGCGACCGUGGACGGUGGGGCAGGUGAGGCAGGCGGCGCGUGCCCUGUCCCCUCCCCGGGCUCCGGCCACACGAGCGGACCGGCGCUGCGCUGCUGGCAACGUGUCGCGGGAACGCUCCUACCCCAUCUGCAUGCCUUACAUGGCUCGAAAGUAAAAAUAAAAAGAAUUACGAUGCGGGCGAGGCUUGUGGGGGUGAGAAGAGGAGAUUCCACGUCUCCCCAGUGCUGCGUCCUGAUAGGACCCCCAGGGCCUUCCGAGCCCUCUCCCAGCGACCACCUCGUGUCCCGGAGUUGCAGCAAGAGAUGUGAGAAGGUGUCACCCUGAAGAGGAAGUGGUGGACCAGCCCUGCCUGAUGUGGACAGCAGGGGACACAUGUCUGCCUGUCUGUCUCUCUGAAAUGGGGGAAAAAAUGCUGAAAGCCAAAGGAGGGCUUAAUGUGGCCUUUUCCACCUUCUAAUUCCAUAGACCCUCAGCUCUGGGACUUGCUUCCUGACCUAGGGUGCAGGGGCCAAAUUUGUUUAGGAACAACCCCAUUCACAAUUCCCCUCAUGAACUUUCAGAAAGGACCCUUGCGUCUUAGAUCCUGAGAAGUCACAAAUAAGCAAGCUGAAUUGUCUACACCAUUGUCCUGUCUACACUGUUUUACAAACACAUUUAACAGCCGAAUUGUAUUAUGUGCCCUAGAAAUCACUUUGAGAAACACUUAUUUCCUGAUAGAGGACUUGAUGGGACCAUUCUGCAGCCCCAUCUGAGCAUGGGCUGGAGAGUACAUAAGUAUCUGGGAGCUGGAAGUCCUCAAUUCCAGGCUUAUCUACCCCCAUCAGCGUGGGACCUCAGUUCCUCCUCCAAGGAGAAGAGCGCCCCUCCCUUGAUGUUUCGUGCAUUCUUUUGCUAAAUGUUUCUCUGGUCAAGAACAUUAAUCCCCCUACACA
rnacentral:antisense_RNA from 1 species